rnacentral:rRNA from 1 species
GUUUGAUCAUGGCUCAGAUUGAACGCUGGCGGCAUGCCUUACACAUGCAAGUCGAACGGCAGCACGGGAGCAAUCCUGGUGGCGAGUGGCGAACGGGUGAGUAAUGUAUCGGAACGUACCUUUCAGUGGGGAAUAACGUAGCGAAAGUUACGCUAAUACCGCAUAUUCUGUGAGCAGGAAAGCAGGGGAUCGCAAGACCUUGCGCUGAUUGAGCGGCCGAUAUCAGAUUAGCUAGUUGGUGAGGUAAAGGCUCACCAAGGCGACGAUCUGUAGCGGGUCUGAGAGGAUGAUCCGCCACACUGGAACUGAGACACGGUCCAGACUCCUACGGGAGGCAGCAGUGGGGAAUUUUGGACAAUGGGCGCAAGCCUGAUCCAGCCAUGCCGCGUGAGUGAAGAAGGCCUUCGGGUUGUAAAGCUCUUUCCGCCGGGAAGAAAUCGCAUGGGUUAAUACCCUGUGCGGAUGACGGUACCGGCAUAAGAAGCACCGGCUAACUACGUGCCAGCAGCCGCGGUAAUACGUAGGGUGCGAGCGUUAAU